AUCCAGCUGACGAGUCCCAAAAAGGAUGAUACGCAUUUUCUGGAU
rnacentral:hammerhead_ribozyme from 1 species